GGGCAUGUGGUCUAAUUGGUAAGACGCCCCUCCGACUUCCGCCACCGCCGCCACCUUUCGGGUUCGCCCGCUUUCUGGGGAGACACGAGUUCGAAUCUCGCCAUGUCCA